AUUGAACGCUGGCGGCAUGCCUUACACAUGCAAGUCGAACGGUAACAGGUUAAGCUGACGAGUGGCGAACGGGUGAGCAAUGUAUCGGAACGUGCCAAGUUGUGGGGGAUAACUGCCCGAAAGAGCAGCUAAUACCGCAUACGACCUGAGGGUGAAAGCGGGGGAUCGCAAGACCUCGCGCCAUUGGAGCGGCCGAUAUAGGAUUAGGUAGUUGGUGGGGUAAAGGUCCACCAAGCCAACGAUCUGUAGCUGGUCUGAGAGGACGACCAUCCACACUGGGACUGAGACACGGGCCAGACUCCUACGGGAGGCAGCAGUGGGGAAUUUUGGACAAUGGACGCAAGUCUGAUCCAGCCAUGCCGCGUGCGGGAAGAAGGCCUUCGGGUUGUAAACCGCUUUUGUCAGGGAAGAAACGCUCUGGGUUAAUACCUCGGGGUAAUGACGGUACCUGAAGAAUAAGCACCGGCUAACUACGUGCCAGCAGCCGCCGCCGUAA
rnacentral:rRNA from 1 species